rnacentral:lncRNA from 1 species
GUACAAGGCACUGAAGGCACUGGCCUAAAUUCUAAAUUGGAUAUUGAAAAUUAAAGACAAGGCUUAGGCCUAUUUUGAUCGUGAUUUUCGAAUUUUAAAUUACUAAAGUCAAGGCUGUAUGGUCCUGAGAUCUUUGCCUGCCUUAUAUAAGGCGAAUUUAAACAACAACAACAACAUCAUCGAGUCGAGCCCUACUUCCUUGUACAAACUUGCGUUGACUGACAUUCUACUGUAAAAACUUCCAGAACCAUUAUGUGUUUUGGAUAGAGCCAAAAUGAUAAAAGUUUGUGGAUAAUGUUCGUUGAUAAAUUGCAAUGUGUUAGAUGCUGAUCGACUUUGUCAUACUAACUCAUACUCAUACUAAGAGAUGCAAGCAACAACAAGUUUCCUGAAGAAUGUUCCAGCCCGAGAGUUAGAAACAAUGUGUCUGUAUAAGUUGUGGAAUAUCUUUGUGAAGGCAUACAAGAGGACAAAAUCACAGGCCAUAGGCUUAUGGAAAGAAAUAAAGAGUGACAUAUCUCCAAGACAGAUGCUUGAUGGAUGCCCAUGUAUGCGUUGUUUGCAGAAUGAGCUCACCUCAAAUGCAUUAAUACCUAGCGAACAUAAGAGCUGUGUUAAGUGUGCCAUUGCAUUGUAUGUAGCUAUUUAUCUUCAUAGAUGUUGUUAAACUAUGAGCUUAAAUCACUUUAUAAUUUAUAGUAUCAUGUCAUUAAAUAAUUAAAAAGCUAGUUAGGAACAUAACCCAUAUAUUUUAAUGUUAUUAUCUAUACCUACUUACUAAUAUGUUCAGCUGAUCAGCCAGCCAUCUCCUAACCAAACCGGGGAUCACAAAGUAAUUUUUGUGUUAGUCCCUACUGGGAUUUGAAUCUGGGACCUCCGGAUGUGAGCCCAACAGUUAGCCACUGGACCAUGGAGGCCGAGAGUACUUGUUAAGUUGCUGUUUUAUUUCAACUACCUAUUUGAUUAAAUGUAGAAAUAAAGAAGAAAAUGUAUGAGUAUGAGUUGCAUCUAUAAUAUUUUAAAUAUAUAAUAAAACAACUUAUUUCUAAAAAUAUAUCUUUCAUUAUCUUUUAAUACAAUUGUUUCGUUUUAAAAUUAUUUUGAAAAAUAUAAAUAGUAAUCACGUCGUUUAGCGCCACUUUUACUGAAAAGGUCUCACAAUCAGUGUUUUUUGUUGUAUCAAAAUUGUUAGUUGCAUUUUAAUGCAGGUACCUACCUACUGGCAUUUAACUUAUGACCUCUUGAGAACAGAUUUCCACAUCAAACAUCCUUUGAUAGUUUUUAUUGGCUUAAAUACAAGACAAAUAUUAUUACAAAAUCUAUAGGUACCAAGGUACAAAUGAGUGACAUUCCAGGCUACUUUCCCCAAAAAACAAUAUAGAUGGCGCUGUACAGAUGUGCGAUCGUUUAACCUUCUAAUUUUAUAUUUUUAAUAGUAAUCACGUCGUUUAGCGCCACUUUUACUGAAAAGGUCUCAUAGUAGUCAGUGUUUUUUGAAUUAAAUUGGGAUAAUUUAUUUAUUGCCAUUACAUUAUAUUUUUGAAUAAUUAUUUAUCCGAGUAGUGAGAAAACGGGUAUUUACGUUUUUAGGACGUUAAAUCUGGACAGCGCCAUCUAUAUUUUUUUUGAGAAAGUAGCCUGGAAAGUCAUCCAUUAGUUCUAUUAAGUACCUGUUUACUAAAUAUGCAAGAGUAACGUGUGUUAUUGGUGCUGAUUCCAGUACACACAGUAAGUUUAUUUGAAGUUAAACCUGUCAUUUUAUUAUCAGCCGAAAAGGAAAGGGACGGAUGAUUGAAAACUGUACCUGGAUACCUUCACACGACUUAUUUAAACUAUGAUAAGCGCUAAUUACAGUACCCAAUCCACUUAGAGCGAGGCGUCAAGGUCACAUCGAGAUUGGAAUAAUCGACGCUAUUACAGUAGCUCGUGGUGGUUACUCCUCACCAACUCGCUUGAGAUCGUGGUUACCAUGGUUACGCCCCACCGAUUUGCUAUUAGACUACACGAUCUUGAUCGACAUGCCCGUGACCUUGACGCACCGGGCAGAAUGGAUUGGAAAGUGUAAUUGCCGCUUCGUCGUGUGAAAAAAAUUUAUAAUCCAGGUAUCUAUCUUAUGUUAUGGUAGCAAUGUCACAUCACUGGUGUUGGUCGUGUGUGACGCAUCCCUAUUAUUUUAAGAAAAGACUAUAGUGUCUAUGAUUGUCUACGGCCUCUCUCUGACAUGUAAUGGCGUAGGGUGUGUUGCGUAAAUUAAUUAAACUCCUCUCAUUUACUAAA